AUACGGAGGGGGCUAGCGUUGUUCGGAAUUACUGGGCGUAAAGCGCGCGUAGGCGGCUUGCCAAGUUGGGCGUGAAAGCCCGGGGCUCAACCCCGGAACUGCAUUUGAAACUACAUCACUAGAGGAUAGGCGGAGAAAACGGAAUUCCACAUGUAGCGGUGAAAUGCGUAGAUAUGUGGAAGAACACCGGUGGCGAAGGCGGUUUUCUAGCUUAUUCCUGACGCUAAGGCCCGAAAGCUAGGGGAGCGAACAGGAUUAGAAACCCCAGUAGUCC
rnacentral:rRNA from 1 species